rnacentral:rRNA from 1 species
UACGUAGGGGGCAAGCGUUGUCCGGAUUUAUUGGGCGUAAAGAGCGUGUAGGCGGCCCGAUUAGUCCGCUGUGAAAGUCCAGGGUUCAACCCUGGAAUGCCGGUGGAUACUGUCGGGCUAGAGUCCGGAAGGGGCGAGUGGAAUUCCUGGUGUAGCGGUGAAAUGCGCAGAUAUCAGGAGGAACACCGGUGGCGAAGGCGGUUCUCUGGGCCUGUACUGACGCUGAGGAGCGAAAGCGUGGGGAGCGAACAGG